AAGACUAUACUUUCAGGGAUCAUUUCUAUAGUUUCUGACUUGUGAAAUGUGUUUCUAAAGUGUUUGGUCUCGCUACCCACGAUGAAGAGUCGUGAUAUUCCUUUCUGAGCGCGAAGCGGGCGGAGAUUAAUGAUUAAUUUCAUACGAUCUCCGUCAUUGAUGACCGUUCUUUGUUCCCUUGUGGAGCAUUGAGGUAAGGAAUAUGAUCAGAGUGGUG
ensembl:snoRNA